rnacentral:tRNA from 1 species
GAGGCUGUAACUCAGUGGUCAAGAGUGCUUGUCUGUCGAACAAGAAGUCGCGGGUUCAAAUCCCGUCAGCCUCG